AAAGAAUUUCAUCACCAUGGAAUAUCCUCUUAUAAGAUAUUACACAUCCUAACAGCUUGGAUCAAAUAAACAAUGAAGAGUUAUUAUUGUUGCAGGCAGCCAUGUAAAUCCUACACAUGGGUGAGCCUGUGCUACCAAACCCCAUCCUUAGGCCAUUUGUAGUUAAAUAGGCUUUUUGUCUUAAGAAAGAAGAGUGUCAUAGUUGGCCAAAUGAAAUCCAGUAUUUAAUUCUUCCACUGUUUGAUUCCUUCAUGUUUAAUUCCAAACCAAGGUCAAUCCUGUGCUAGCAUCUUGUGUCAGUAGAUUAAACCUUCACCAAGGUCAAUCCUGUGCUAGCAUCUUGUGUCAGUAGAUUAAACCUUCACCAAGGUCAAUCCUGUGCUAGCAUCUUGUGUCAGUAGAUUAAACCUUCACCGUGGUGGGUGUGAAUUGCCUUCUUGUCUGUGAGUUUCCAAGGAGGACAGGGUAAUGAAAAUCAAGACCUCCAGCGGUGGGAGGUAAACAGAGUAUUCAUUCAAUAUGUUUCUCCCAUUCUUAGAGCUGAAAGUAUAGUCUUAAACCCAGAGCUGUAAUGAAGAGGGUAGGAUUAUCCGUAGAUAAGAGUUCUAAACACAUUCUGAUAGAGGCUUAUAAUCAGUACAAAUUGUAACGGCCGUAGAAGGAGUUGUUCUGCAGAUGGCUUUAUUCUUGAGUACCCAGUACCAUCUGGCACGUUGGGGCUGAGCCCAGCCCCACCACUAUAAGGAACCAUAUUUGCAAUGUAUUGGCACAGGCACUGAAGUCAAUGGCUCCUUGACAUUUUGGACUCUUCGUCAUAUGGCAAGUCCAGCUGCAGAGCAUGCCCUUUUCUAGUGGGCAGGGAAGUGGCUCAGGCAAGUUGCUUUUUGUUGAAGAAAAGGUCACCUCAAGGAGUCUUGAAGCUUUGGCUUAAGUCUGAAGAUUACAUAUGGCACCAUGAGCCACUUCUUUUAGGUUAAGUGAAAUUCUUGCAGUAUUGAUGUAGAAAACUAACAAUUUCACACUGAAAGAUCUGAGUUUAUGUGAAAAUAAAUUUAAAUAAUUGAUAUGCCGAAUCAGGGUGGGCUUUUUUCUAUCUCCUUUUAAAACAUUUCAUACGGACUUCGAUUAUUGUAGGCAUUACAUUGUCCUGUGGAUUUUCUCUUCCCUCUCUCCCUACGUGGGCUGUGGUGUUUUUGAAGGCAGGAAUUAUGUCUUUUUCAUCUUUUUAUUCCUGGACUCCAGGACCUGGGUAGGCACAUUUUAGAUGCCCACAAAAUUCAUUGAAUUAGCUCUGAAAUUUUUGUGUUUGUGCCUUUUUCAUUCCAUUAAAAAGUCAUUGAAAUAUGGUUCUAUUACCAGAAUCCUAGAAAUCAGGAUCUGUGGGGAUGGUAACUGUUUUGAACUCAAGAGGCUUAGUGUCCUUUUAUAGGCAUCUGAUUGUGCAGGUGCUGUGUCAGUAUGUUCUGAGAGAAUAAUUUUGUGAAUGUGCUGGCCCCAUUCUUAAGUUAUUCUGACUCCUCUGUAAAAUGGAGUUCGUGAUAGUAUAUCUCUGAGGGACGGGAGUUUGUGAAAUUAAUUAUAUAAAGAGAUGCACAAGAUGAGCAAUAAUAAGGGCACCCAGAUGGCUCAGUCGGUUAAGCGUCUGCCUUUGGCUCAGGUCAUGAUCCUGGAGUCCUGGGAUUGGGCCCUGCUUUGGGCUCCCUACUUAGCAGGAAGUCUUCUCCCUCUGCCCCUCCACUAGGCUUGUGCUCUCUCUCUCUCUCUCUCUCUCAAAUACAUAAAUAAAAUUAUGAGCAAUACAUAUGAGCAAUUUACCAAGUCUUGACAGAAAGUAUGGGUGCCUCCCCGCACUUCCACAGCAUGCCUUCCAUUCAUUCCUCCUGUAGGAUCAUUGUCCUCUUGGGAGAUGAAUGAUCAUCCUCGUUAAUUGGUGCUACAUAUGAACUACCUUACAAUUUUAUUGGAUUCAGACAAUUUGUUACUGUUUGACACAGUCCUGUGGAUUAAUCUGGCUUAGCUGGGCAGUUGUCAUUUGUGUCUCUAAUUCCGUUGUGGUACAGUCGUGGCUUCUGAAGGCUUGCCUGGGGUCACUCACUCUGCUGGCACUUGAUGCUGGUGGUCAGCUGGGAGCUCUUCAGGGAAGCUCCUAUGCAGAGCCUCUUCAUUGUGGUCUCAAGGAAUUUGCCCUGUGCAAGGCAGUGAAUUUCCAAGAGGGAGCAUUCCUAAGAGUGAGAAUUCUGAAAGACCCAGUGGAAGCUAUGAGGCUUCUUGUGUCCUAGCUUUCAUUAGACUCGAGUCAUUUCUAUAGUAUUCUGUUGGUCAGAAGUAAAUCCGAGGGCCAUUUGAGAGGAGGGGGGUGUGUUAGGGUAUGAGUACUGGGGGCAGGGCUCACUGGGAGAAGGAGGGGUAGAUGGCUAUCUUCAAAAAUGAGCUACCAAAGUGAACUCAGCUUCUCUGGCAAAGAGUCUGGAAAUAAACAUGAUGGGGGUCUGUCUAAUGUUAUCUACAUUUAACAACUGUAAUCAACUUCCGUCUUUCAAUCAUGACUAUUAAUGAGUCUUGUUACAUAUGUGGCAGCAGCCUGUGGCUUCGCAUACAGGAUUCUCUGAUUAUCUUGCAAGUCUCAGACUGCAUUAUCAUUUGAAGAAUCAGUGUUGCUUGAUGCAAGGUGAUCCGCUAUGACACUGCUGGAACCUCAUUCUAGUAGGUUUUUGAAUGGCUACUCUUAAGUUGGUCCUGGAUUCUUGAAACAGUAUUUUGUUCCAGUUGAAGCAUUAUGUUGUUCUUCUUGAGAUGAUCUGCAGAUGAGUUAAAUAAUAUUUCCCAACCUCUGAACAGGCCCAUCCUGGUCCACCGUUAGGCUUCCAGUAUAUACCCAUUUCUGACAACUUGAUGUCCUCUAGGACUGUUUUCUGUAGUCUUGUUUUAUCAUUCACUCAUUCAACUAGACAUUGAGGUUUAUUCAUUCAGAAAGUACCUACUCAUUGCCAGUAUGACUGAAAUUUUAUUCUAUUUUAUUUUAAAACAACAUAUCUUGGCCAUUCUUCUGUAUCAGUACAGAGAGUUGCUGUCAUUCUUUUUAAAUUGCUGCCUGAGAUUAUUCAUUUAGCUACUCCCUUCAUGAUGCUUGGGUAGUAUUCCCACUUUUUGAUACUAUAAACACUCCCAACAGUGAUCCUUCUUAAACAUGUCUUUGGUCACACACACACACACACACUUUUUUUUUUUUUAAAAAGAUAAAGUCUAAAAAGUAGAAAUGUGGAGCCAAAGGGAAAGUUCAUUUAAAAUUUUGACUAAAUGAUACUGAAACAUUGACUUUCAAAAUGGCCCUGCUGGGAUCCCUGGGUGGCGCAGCGGUUUGGUGCCUGCCUUUGGCCCGGGGCGCGAUCCUGGAGACCCGGGAUCGAAUCCCACGUCGGGCUCCCUGCAUGGAGCCUGCUUCUCCCUCUGCCUAUGUCUCUGUCUCUCUGUCUCUCUCUGUGUGACUAUCAUGAAUAAAUAAAUAAAAUCUUAAAAAAAAAAAAUGGCCCUGCCAAGGAAUAGCAUUCGACAAAGGAUAGUGAUUCCUUACACUCUGGUGACAGCAGAUGUUGUAUUCCUCAUUUUUAAAAUUUUUGUCAUUCUGAAAGCUGAAAAAUGUGAUCUCCCUGUUGAAUGUGCCUUUCUUACAAGUUUAUCCUUGAAAGUUUAAUGCAUAUUUGUUUGUUUCUCCUUUCCUGGAAAUUACUGACCUUUGCCUGUUUCUCUGUUGGGUUGUUUGUCUUUAUCAUAGUGAAUCCUCUUGUGCCUCUCAUAUUAUUGAUAGUAUUUGGAAGUGACCCCUGCAAGGAACAGGGAACUGGAUUCACAAUGGCUUUAACAAAUAAGAGUUUGUUUUUCUUACACAGUGAGAAACCUAGAAGUAUGAGGUGGCCGCCAUUUGGUCUGUGGCUCAGUCUUGGCAGCACUGGGGUGUCCAUAAAGUGUCUUGGCUUUUCCUUCUUGAUCACAAAAUAGUAGUGCUAGUGGCAUCUGCCCUUAUUUCCUUUUUAAAUCAGAAAGCUACAGCUUUCCCAGAAUCUGCAAGAAAGUUUAUAAUGUCUGGAAUGGAGACAGGAGAAGUCAAAAGACAUUGAUAAGGAAUUUUGGGUUAACUAACCAGCAGUGCCUGCCACUGUGGUAUUAAUACUUGGUCUUAUUUGCCUUUUAAGUUGUGUCUUUUCCCACUUGUCACAGUAUCUUAAGUUUGUGGCACUUUCAGCUCACAGGAAUUUAUAUUUUGAAGGUAGUAAAUGCUAUUAUUUCAUUUGUGUAUGAUUUCAGUUUUUAUUUUUCCCCAUUAUGAAAUUUUUUUCCUAUUUUCUAAUACGUUUGUAGUUUCGAUUUGUAUGUUUUUUUUUAAGAAAAUCAAUUUGAAAUAGAUUUUAUUUAUGGUCUAAUAUGGGAAAAUACUCUUUCUCCUCCUACCUCUACAAAAGGGAUAGUUCAUUGUUUUUUGUUUGUUUGUUUUGUUUGUUUAAAGGGGUAGAAAGUUUAUUUUUCUUAGGGGAAAAAAAAGUCUAGGUUAUAGUUAGAGGCUUUCUGCUCAGGUUUAUUGAGGUAUAAUUGACAAAAAUUGUAUAUAUUUAAGGUAUACAACUUGAUGCUUUGAUGUACAUGUACAUUGUGAAGCAAUUACCACAAUCAAGCUAAUUGCCAUAUAUAUCAUCUCACAACCUCACAAUUAUUAUUUUGUGUGUGUGUGUGUGUGUGUGUGUCUGCAUGUAAUAAGAACUCUUAAAAUCUACCCUCUUAGUAAACUCAAAGUCAUUUAGGCUGGGUCAUGAUCUCAGGAGUUGUGGGAUAGAGCCUUACAUUAGACUCUACACUAGAUGUGGAGCCUGCUUAAGGUUUUCUCUCUUCC
rnacentral:lncRNA from 1 species